UACGUAGGGAGCAAGCGUUGUUCGGAUUUACUGGGCGUAAAGGGCGCGUAGGCGGCAAAUUAAGUCAGCUGUGAAAUCCCCGAGCUUAACUCGGAACGGUCAGCUGAUACUGAUCUGCUAGAGUGCGGAAGGGGCAAUCGGAAUUCUUGGUGUAGCGGUGAAAUGCGUAGAUAUCAAGAGGAACACCUGAGGUGAAGACGGGUUGCUGGGCCGACACUGACGCUGAGUGCGCGAAAGCCAGGGGAGCAAACGGG
rnacentral:rRNA from 1 species